AGUGAUCUGUUUUCACUUUAAAAAAAAAAAAAAAAAAAAAUCAGAGAAUUACAUAAACUUGAUACUGCAUGCCUUGUCUAUGUACCAAAUUCAUCUCAUAGUUGUUUCCAUUAGAAAUUUUUGUACUAAAAUGUUCUAUUCCUGCAGAACUUUUAACACAGCUUCGUCUUUUGAUGGUAAGCUCCACAAGCAGUAUUUUAAAUCUGAAAUUAAUCUAAAACAACUAUUCGUAUCUAAAAUCCAUUGGAACUUGAAAUACAACAUAAGAAACACAUAUGAAAAUGGUGACAUUGCUUGAAUGAAAAAUUGUCAUGAGCAUGUUACCUGAAAAAUUUUGAUACAUAAUCGUUGCCAGAGUUUGGCACAUUUUUGAAAAUUUGGUAACUUUUAUUAAGGUGGUUUCAAUAAUAUGCAAAUAUCUUUUAUUCUUAUGAUUGCUUCCUUGUAUACUUUUUUUCACAAUACCACAAGUUUUCCAGCCAAAUGCGAAAAUUCCACACCUUUAUCACGAGGAAAUCUGCAAUGGCAUUUAGGAAUGACAAAUAGAAGCUCAACUAUUCGAAGCAGGAGACCGAAGAGAAAAAAGGAAGAGAGAUGAUAUUACAGCUGCAGAAAAGGAAAUAAUUGAAACGCAGAAGAAUAUAUUAAUGUACUGUGUGAAAUAUGUGACUUGUAUAAGCAAUCAGUUGCAAAUCAGUCUGCUGUCAUAGAAAAUCAAAAUAUAAUUAUUAAUUUAUUAAAAAAAUAAAUCAUGCAUUUCAAAUAUUA
rnacentral:lncRNA from 1 species